rnacentral:rRNA from 1 species
CAGCCGCCGCGGUAAUACGGAGGGUGCAAGCGUUACUCGGAAUUACUGGGCGUAAAGCGUGCGUAGGUGGUGGUUUAAGUCCGUUGUGAAAGCCCUGGGCUCAACCUGGGAAUUGCAGUGGAUACUGGGUCACUAGAGUGUGGUAGAGGAUAGUGGAAUUUCCGGUGUAGCAGUGAAAUGCGUAGAGAUCGGAAGGAACAUCUGUGGCGAAGGCGACUAUCUGGGCCAACACUGACACUGAGGCACGAAAGCGUGGGGAGCAAACAGGAUUAGAUACCCGCGUAGUCCCUGUCUCUUAUAC